rnacentral:rRNA from 1 species
UGCAGUCGACGGUGAACACGGAGCUUGCUCUGUGGGAUCAGUGGCGAACGGGUGAGUAACACGUGAGCAACCUGCCCCUGACUCUGGGAUAAGCGCUGGAAACGGCGUCUAAUACUGGAUAUGUGACGUGACCGCAUGGUCUGCGUCUGGAAAGAAUUUCGGUUGGGGAUGGGCUCGCGGCCUAUCAGCUUGUUGGUGAGGUAAUGGCUCACCAAGGCGUCGACGGGUAGCCGGCCUGAGAGGGUGACCGGCCACACUGGGACUGAGACACGGCCCAGACUCCUACGGGAGGCAGCAGUGGGGAAUAUUGCACAAUGGGCGCAAGCCUGAUGCAGCAACGCCGCGUGAGGGACGACGGCCUUCGGGUUGUAAACCUCUUUUAGCAGGGAAGAAGCGAAAGUGACGGUACCUGCAGAAAAAGCGCCGGCUAACUACGUGCCAGCAGCCGCGGUAAUACGUAGGGCGCAAGCGUUAUCCGGAAUUAUUGGGCGUAAAGAGCUCGUAGGCGGUUUGUCGCGUCUGCUGUGAAAUCCGGAGGCUCAACCUCCGGCCUGCAGUGGGUACGGGCAGACUAGAGUGCGGUAGGGGAGAUUGGAAUUCCUGGUGUAGCGGUGGAAUGCGCAGAUAUCAGGAGGAACACCGAUGGCGAAGGCAGAUCUCUGGGCCGUAACUGACGCUGAGGAGCGAAAGGGUGGGGAGCAAACAGGCUUAGAUACCCUGGUAGUCCACCCCGUAAACGUU